rnacentral:rRNA from 1 species
UACGGGAGGCAGCAGUAAGGAAUCUUCCACAAUGGACGAAAGUCUGAUGGAGCGACACCGCGUGAAGGAUGAAGGCCUAACGGUUGUAAACUUCUUUUCUGAAGGAGCACAAUGAGAGUACUUCAGGAAUAAGGGGGGGCUAAUUAUGUGCCAGCAGCCGCGGUAAUACAUAAUCCCCAAGCGUUACUCGGAAUUACUGGGUGUAAAGGGUUCGUAGGUGGAUUUUUAAGUCAGAUAUGAAAGACCGGAGCUCAACUCCGUGUUUGUGUUUGAAACUGGAAAUCUAGAGUUAGGAAGGGGUAAGCGGAAUUCUAAGUGUAGGGGUGCAAUCCGUAGAUACUUAGAAGAACACCAAAAGCGAAGGCAGCUUACUGGUACUAUACUGACACUGAGGAACGAAAGCGUGGGUAGCGAAAAGGAUUAGAUACCCUUGUAGUCCACGCCCUAAACGAUGAUAACUAAGUGUUGGGAUUUAUCCCAGUGCUGAAGCUAACGCAUUAAGUUAUCCACCUGAGGAGUACGGCCGCAAGGUUA